CGAGCCCGUGGCCGCGCUGCCGGCCGCUUGCAAAUAGGCGUAUAGCAAGCAGCCUUGCGGGCCACAGGCGAACAUUUAGAUGAGCGUACAGGGCGGUGGGGGCACUGGGCCCUCGAAUUCAUUGAGCGGCGCUCUGAGCAGUCUUCCAGGGCUGAGCGCAGGCCACGGCCCGCACGGCCAUCCUGGGGGGCAACGACAACAGGGUCCUCACGGAACAAUGAUGCCCCUCGGACCUGCGCCGCUCGCCGUUCAGGGAGCUAUGGGCGUUCCACAACAACCUCAAUCGCAACAUCAUCCCGGACAACAGUUACCCCCUCAGCAACAGGUGGUUGUCCAUCAGCAGCAGCAAUUGAAACGGGGCACUGGCCGACGACGAGCGUCUGAUAACCAGGCUGCCUCGUCAGGUUCAGGUCCACCAUCCGGUAUUGGAGCAAGUUCUGCUUCUUCUGUUGAGGAUGCGGGAGCGACACGAAUGCUUGUGGCUUCGUUAGGUAGUGGACAUUCCGGAGGCCACGGUGGCCAUUUGGGUGGCCAGGCCGGCGCAGGUCCUUUGUCUGGUGCAGGUACCACAACCGCCGGAAUAAUGUCGAGCGCAAAUAGCGCGGCUACUGCCUCGAUGCAGGGAUCUCAACUCAAGAAAUGCCUCAACGAGAAGCAUCGGAGAGAACAGGAGAACAUUUACCUCGAGGAGUUAGCCGAGCUGAUCUCAAACGUUAGUGCUGAGUAUGGGAACACCUCAGCGCCUGUUGGAGGAACGCCAGGCGUAAGUGGCGCGAAUCCUUUAUCUGUCAAACCCGACAAAUGCGCGAUCCUCCAGGAAACCGUUAAUCAUAUUCGAAGACUUCAAAACGACCAUGAAUCCCUCGGAGGAUCUUCACAACAUGAACUGUCAUUACAGGGCAACCAGGUGUCUUCAUCAAAGGCCAACAUACUCGGCGCUGAUAUCCUCGGUCCUUUAGUUCUUGAAGCACUCAAUGCCUUUUUCCUUGUUAUCAAUUCUUUGGGGAAUGUUAACUUUGUAUCAGAGAACGUGAACAUGUUCCUCAAUUGCGAGCCCGCGUCCCUUGAAUCGAAGACCAUCUACAGCCUCGUUCAUCCCGCAGACCGGGCGCGAUUCUCAAGCAAUCUUUUACCUAUACAGAGCACUGACACUCAACAGCUAUUGAAUCCUCAGAAGACCCGAUCAUUUUUCUGCCGAUUCAACACUAAUGGUCCAGAGGACGAUCCGCUAACGGCCGCUGACUCCGAACAGACACAUAGCGUCAUUGCUUUACCCAACAGUCACCAGAAGUCUUUUGUGAACAUGCACGUUAGUGCUAUUCUUACCCCAGCCGGGGGUAACGGCUCAGGCGUACCGCAAGGCAACUGUCUACUGUGUUUCGUCCGAAGGUUACCCAGCAACGAGUUGUUGCCCCAGUCGUCAAGCGGGGCGCUCAAUGACGGAGUUAAAAAGGCCCUACCUGCAAUAACUGGCUGCGGUACAAUGCCGUCCAGUAUAGGCUCAGUCGAACAGUUUACAACACGGCUUGAUACCACAGGCAGAGUGAUCGCAAUAGAUCUUUCAAAUCUGAGUGCUGGAUACGCUAAUCUGCUCAAACACGGCGUUCCGGAGGGUCGACUAUUAAAGGACGCCUGCGAUACGCACGUUGACCGGGACAGACUCAAUGACCACCUCAGCCAAACAAUAGUAACAGGGGCACACACGUCAUCAGUGUAUGUUCUCCGACCUGGCGGACCGGAAAAUCCGUCGAUUCACGUACAAACCAAAUCGAAGAAGUUCACGCCGUCUGCUAGAAAUAACGAGACGGACUUCAUUAACGCUGUACACUCCAUAAUCAAGGAUGUCCCGUCGACGCACGCAGACGAAAUGGUUAAUCCAGUUCGAAGUCACACGCCCCUAGGGGCAAUAGUUGGUCCGCCCUCAGCGAACAACCCUAACCAAAGCAACACCACGCAAAACACUGGCAGUGGAGUAAAGACGCAAUCCAUGUCGACACAGCAAGGAACUACGUCCAUCGCCCUUGGUAGUGCUGCGCCGCCAAAGCCACCCACGCCAGGCACGCCUGUACCUCAUCUCGGUGGUCUCCCGCUUACGGGAUUGGCCGGCAACGAUGGAAACAAUAAUAGCCAGCAAGGCGUGGCCGCUGGGAAUACCUUCAACAUGGUGGGAAUCGGCUCGAGUUCGGAGAAGCUGCGUAAUCUAUUGAUACAGGGAAAGUCAGGGUGCAACUCGAGUUCAUCGCCAUCGUUGGGAACGACAGUCGGCGGUCAGCAGCAGACCAACACAAUCCUCAAGCAACUGCUGAACUCGUCCGGGGAGCCUGGACUUGACCAAGUGGUUGUUAAGCAGGAACAUAAACUCAGCGUCAUCCUUUCACGAAAGGUCGGUGAGAGUCCUCUGUUGGAUGGAACGCAGCCAGCAAAACGCAUCAAGACGGAGGGUGGACCGAAGGCGCACCUCGCCGGCCAAAAUCCCAUGCUGGCCUCGAUGCUAGCACAGACCCCGCGACCCGUCGCCAACGUGCCUACGUCGAUCGCUAACGCAAUCGUCUCCCAGAUCCCCCAGGAUCGGCUACCGAAGAACCUCGAGAAGAAACUCCUGCCCACCCCAGCGCCGCCGCCGACCUCACAGAGCGGCAACGGUCAGAACGGAGGUCAGGGCGUUUCUCAGGGUCUUGGAGCAAGCACAAGUCCAACAACUUCCACAUCAUCAACAGUCAAUCCUCACGCGCACAUAUCCAUGACACUGGGCAGUCACGCUCCUAUAAGUUCGUCCAGCGGAGGCAGUAGUGCAGGCGGCGGAGUCACGAGUCCUACUGCGCUUUUUGGUCCUCCCAUGUCGGUUGCUGGAGCUAGCGGUCCUGCCGUUAGCGCCGUAGGCACCGGGUCCUUAGUGGAUCCCGGCAGCGGGCCAGUCGAUCCACUGUUGUCCCAGAUUCUCGAUGAGGUUUGGACGCUAGAGGAGGAGCUGAAGUAUGGACCGUCUCCUUCACCGUCACCAAGUCACGCUCCACACACGCCUCAUGGUCCACCGACGCCACAUACGCCUCAGCCCACGACGCCCACCGCACUCAAUCCGCCCGGCACACCACAGCCUUCUAGUCCACUAAUGGACCCCACAGCGACACCGGUUACAGCCACGACGAACCCCGCUCAACAACAACAACAACAACAACAACAACAGAACCUGUUAAAUAUAAAUCCGCACAGCAAUAGCAGCACGGUACCAGUCAGCGGGACAACAGGGGGCAACCUAGGUGGUCCCUUGGGUGCAACAAGGGCUAGCCUCGUGUCUCCUCUAAGUAUUCCGCCUUCACAGUCACCCGGCCCUCAGGCAGCGUUACAGAGUCUUCUAUCUUCACCAGCACCUUCACCGCGGCAUCCAGGCAGUCAAGGUGGCUGUAUCAGUAUCCGCAGUCCUGUCCACACACCUCAGGGAGGCGGAGGCGGUAUAUCCGCCCCAAGUCCCCUUGCCGCUCAUACGCCGACUCAGGACAAUACCGACACACAUUCCAAUCCGCCCUCGGUGAUGUCGAUCGCAUCUCCUCCGAGCGUCCCUAUAGGUGGCGGGGUGUCUCCACCACUUCCUUCAUUACCGCCCAGUCAACAGCAGCAGCAGCAGCAACAGGUCAUGCUGCAGCUGCAACAACAACAACAACAACAGCAACAACAACAGCUUUUACAACAACAGCCCUCAAUCCAGCAACAGAAUCAGGAGGAUACAACAUUACUGCAGAAGAUACUCGACGAUCUCGAAGACGUCCGGACACCAGCGGCUCCGCUAAUGGGUGGAGUAGACGCGAAACAGGCCAUCUCGGCCAUCCAAAGGCAGCUCAUGAGCUUUGAGAGCAACGCCCAAACUAUAACACUAAGCAAUCGUCCUUUGCCAGUCCAGUCGCCAAUGCAGCAGCAGCAGCAGCCGCAGCAGCAACAACAGCAGCAGCAGCAGCAGCAGCAACAACAGCAGAGCGGCCAGAAAUCACCACAUCUGCUAGUGCAUUCGAUGGGAAGCGGCACGACUCCACAGCAGCAUCAACAGCUGCAGCUCCAGCCGGGUCAACAGCAACAGCAGCAUGGCCUCCUCAUAAAACAGCAACAACAACAACAACAGCAGCAACAGCAGCAGCAGCAGCAGCAGCAGCUGAAGAUGACUGGAGGCUCGACGACGUCAAUGCAACAACAAAUGGCGCCUCGUAUAGGCGGCUAUAGUCAGCAACAAAUGACUCAAGUCGGAAGCCAGUUACCUUCGCCAUUGUUGCGCGCCCAGCUGCGUACAAUCGCUGCUCAACAGGGGCAACUUACAAAUAGCCAGAUGGUGACAACAGGUCAACAGCAAAUUAUUACAGGCGGGUUGCCUACCGUUUCGACCGCGAACUUUCAACUGCAGCAGCAGCAGCAACAACAGCUUCAUCAACGGACCAAAUUUCUCGAGACGCAGCAGAUGCGCUUACUAACCAACCAACAAAAUCAACAUAUUUCCGGUCAAAAUCAUGGGAACAGCCAGCAUCACCAACAAGCGUUAUUGCACAUUCAACAACAGCCCGGGGUACAACAGCAGCAACAAUUAGCCACUGUUCAACAAUCGUUACAACAACAACAGCAACAGCAGCAGCAACAACAGCAGCAGCAGCAGCAGCAAUCAUUAGCUAGCCAACAGGGGCAAAUGCAACUUCCGAACGUCAAUGACGUGGUUCCUCCUCCAAACGUCAGUUUGCAACCUGCAGCUAAAUGGCAAAGUGUGGGUGUAAAUGUCGGUGUAGGGGGUCUCGGACCUGGCCCUCGAAUGGGUCCCAGUGGUGUAGGACCAGCCGCCGCCUCGCAUUUGCGAGGUUCGGCACAGCCCCAGGCUUUACAAUAUCCUCAAGGACCAUUGCAGUGAGAUAGGAAAUGGAAUGACGACACGAGACAGGCUACAGCUUCGAAGGGCGGUGGCAAAGGACAGACUCAAAACAAGCGUAACGUGAUUGACUGUUGAAACAUCAAACUCUGUUAGAGUGGGUGCGCUCGUGCAGAAGGUGGACCUCGAAAUGCGCUAACAUAUAAUCUGAUCAUGUUUUGUUUCUGUGGAGGCGACGACCUGUCUAAAGAGUAAGUAACCGCGAUUGCAGGCGAGAUAUAGCGGCAGAAGAGUGAUAGAGAACGAAGCAACAAUGCCAAUACUUAAGUAUACCGAAAUUGUGUAUGAAGAAUAAGAAAAACUUGAGAAAUAUUUAGAGAAGCAUAGGCAUACAAUUUCUAGACAUAUGGCAGGAUAUGGUAGUACAUGUAUAGUGUGCUAUACUUUGUAAGUACGUGGCUUCAGUCGGUGGAUCGCAAAGGGACGGAGACCUUCAUCGUCAGAUUCCCUUCUGAGGUUACCCUAACGGCGAAGAGCUGACACCUUUGCAGCCGCUAGAGGCGUUCUAUAUCUAUAAUGGAGGUUGAAGAAUAAUGAAUGAAGUCUGCAGGUAAUAAGAAAAAGAAAAAAGAAAACCUUUGAAUUCCUUUUAUAAAGAUGACAGGUUUGCAGAAGGAUAGCUACACUGUAUAUUUCCGCCGGCAGCAUCCCCAAUCGACGAUAAUCCCAAAUCCCGUUUCCGUAAACAUACGAGGCUGGUAUAUUUUUAAAGAGAGGAUUUUACGAGUGACAAGGGCGGCUACAACAAAUCCAGAAACAGCCAGGUGACCGCGGCCUGGAUAAGUAACCUUGGACAACAACUCGAAGACCAGCUUUGUUCCACUCCCUUUGGUGACUCACGAAGCGCUAAUUAAUGUUGAUCGAUGACAGCAUCUAGUGCAGGUGAAUGUAAAUGAUGGCGCACGUUUUGACGACGGCAACGAAUGGAUGGAUGGAUUCUGUAUAGUUUGCGUAAAUCGAGAUAAAAGUGGAGGCUAUUUGUUGUUCUUGUUGUUCGUAUAUGGUACUGUACCGUGUGUGCGUAUAUAAUGUAUGUAAAACAUAUAUUCAUAAGGAUGAUAAUUAUUAUAAUCAUAAUAAUGUUAUUAGGAAGUAAUAGCAAUGAGAAGAAUUCUUAUGAUGGUGGACGGAAGCUAUAUACAUUAUUGAUGCGCUAUAUUGAUGAUAUUAUCAACAAUGAUGAUGAUACGAGUUGCAAAAGAAAGCGCGCUUAGGCUAAAGAAAAAGCUGAGGAUUGCAGAAAAGAAGAUAGAAUGACCAUUGAGCGGAAUAUCCAUAAAGGGUAAUAGCGCUAACUAAUCUGGGAAAAAUCUACGUGGUAAUCUACUUCCCCUCUUCGUUACUGGAUUCCGCUCGAUCGUUCUAGCGAUGAUAAAGCGGGCGUUUGAACAAUGGCUGACUACAAUUAUACAUAUACAGUAUAUUAAAAAGAAGAGUAUAUCCAUCUAUAUUUGUAUGCGCGUUCGUGUCGGGUCGUCGACGGAUGACUCGCCCUUCUGGGAAUGCUAUGAUAAAUAUUCAUUCGUCAGACACAAUGGGGGCGACGCAAUGGGGAUGUUUGGCUCGCCGACCCACGCGACGUUGAUUUAGUGAACGAUGACCGUUUUGCUAACUGUGUUGUUGAUCCUGUUAUUGCUACUGGGUUGCCUUUUUUGUGGGGUUGUAUUUGUCAUCGGGUGUUACAUUUUAGUGGAAUUCAGAACAGACGAGCUUCGAUGGACACACAUAUUCACAAGCGGAAACACUUAAAGUACUGCAAACAAAAAAAUAUCGAAAAAUUUUAUGAAUUUCUCUGUAGAACUCGACAUUAUCUUUAAGAGCGGUAGGAGAAAACUGGCCUUUUCAUUGCGCCCUUUACCUUCUGAUCGACCAACGAGUAGGUGCGAGUUCUUUUCGAUUGAUGAACGUAUUAGGAAAGAACGGAGUUCAAGCUAUGACUCGGGAACUGGUCAUCUUUUACAGCUAGGAUGCUUACAUACAUUGCAUUGUAUGUAUCGAGCCUUUGAGAGUGUGUCUGGUAUAAUUUGUCCCUUAGAAUGCGCCCCUAGGCGGAUCUGCGUGUCCAUUCGCGUAUGUACGUGUUUGUAUGUAUGCAUACUGAACGGAACAAUUGGUGUUGUUGUUGUUGUUGUUGUUGAAGAGGCACUAUUAACGUGUGUUGGUGAUGUGAUUAUUAUAUUUGGGCAUAUGGUUAAUAUAAUAACUGUAAUAGUAGCUAAGUACAUUAUAUUCCGAACACUAUAAUUAUCAUUAUUAUAUAGCCAAAAUAUCAUAAUUUUGUUAUGCAUAUAUCGUUGUUGCUAUAUCACCGUUGUUACUACAGAUGUUGUUGUUGCUAUUGUUAUUGAACUUUUGCUAUUAUUGAUCGACCACAACAAUUGCGUGUACAAUUGAAUUCAAUAACGUAACUAAGUUUCGUCUAGAGAAGCUUCUAUCCUAGCGAGCGGUGCCUCCCUCGGAUAGCAGACGAAAGGACUUUACGUUUUCGAAAUACUCGGCUGGCAUCUCCCUUUUAUCUCAAUAUGAUCCAACGUCUUCUUCGAAUGUUCAUGGCACCUUCCUGAAUAAUAACAUUUAGAAGAACUUAGAAAUCUUACGCCCUUAGCAUUGCCUCUCUUCAGAACCAAAACAUUCAACACCUUAAAAAUAAAUAGCUGGCCGCUGCUGCUUUUUUUUAAUCAACAAACGAAAUCUUUAACUUCGUUACGAAGUGUACGACACGCAUGUAUAUAUGUGUAUACGGAACAUGCAUAGCUAGUAGAGUGUAUACCAUCUGAUUAUAUAUUAGUAAUAAAUGGACUGAUGAACUUCCGAUGUUCAUUUGGGUUGAGAGGUAAGAAUCACGACCCAUUUUUGGGUUAGGGGGCAUACAUAUGUGUAUGUAUGUAUGUAUGUAUGUAUGAAGUUCGUAUAUACUGAAGAUCCGACAGAGUAAAGCAUAUGAGUGAAUGUUUGUUGUGUAUCGUGAAUGCAGACGCUUGUGGCGAUCGAAUGAUCUCUCGUUCUGAAGUGAGAUGAUUCUGUUCUGAUAUUACAUCAACUUCGUAACUCACGGCCUACCUAUGAGGAUCAUGGUGUAGACGAGUUUGUUUCUUGUUUUCAAAAUGUUAAAUUGUAUUAAUCGAAUUAGAAAAAAGAAUCAUUCUUUCAAUAGCUACUAGUGGUACUAAACGAUUGGCAUCUAUCCAAUAACUUCUAACAGAGUUUUUUUUUUUUUUUGAUAUUAUGGCUUCGCCCCAAAAUCGCUUUGGGUGAUUUAAAGGCUUAAGGAAAAUUCAAGAUUGAGUGUAGAUUGGCAAGGAGUUAUAACUACUUCCUUUCAAUUUUCAUAUGCGUCGUACUUGCCAAUUUGUCAGCGAGAAUCAUCUCUGUUCAGUUGACCUCUAUUAUUACGGUGUUUACUUUUCAUGAAUCGCGGUCAGUGUCAUAAGAAGCCCCCAGGGCUUCGAUAAAGAUGAGUAUCGUAGCGAUAUAGUACAGCGCAAUGGGUGUCUUCUUGGUUGAUAAACUUUUAUAUUGAUUCAUCCUGCUUCGGAUUCGACUCAGAUAGAGUAUGCUACGGAUUAACAUUGUUGUAAAAGGAUGUUGGUCUCUCUAUGAUAAACUUCAAUUUUUCCGCAAUACCCGAUAAGCGGCAAGAAACAAUGACCAAUCGUCUGCUCCCAACCACUAAUCCGCUUCGUGUCCACAAAUGAAAGAUGAAGUAGAUGAUUACCAGAAGUAUGGUCAGCGGGAAAAAGUCGAGCUGAUGCCAGGUUCUGCGCUAGACUACGAUAACAGCAGGUCACCGAAGGACCUACGCAGUCCGCUGAUUUUAAUACCUUCUCUAGCGACCCGAUGACAAAAGGCAUUUCAGGUUUAGUGACAUUAUCAGCAACACAGUUUUACAAUUUGUGUAUGUCUAGGCGCAAUAUUCGCAUGUGCAUAUGGGUACCGGGAACGAAUCAAGUUUACACUAAAAGAUCACUAUCUAAGUUUCACGCCACGCCGUACUAGAUACUAGACCGGCCGCCUCUCCACUCCUCCUCUUU